AGUAUUAUUUUUUUAUCUUGAUUUUCCUUCUUACACAUUGAGGACAAUGUGUAUGUUAAGUGUGGGGGGAAGAAUUGAGAUUAUAUACAUUGUAUGUGAUUGACUUAUUAGUUGCAAAUAUUGGACUUGUGUUAAAAUUCAAAAUUUUUCUAAAAUCUUGUCCAAAAUUGCAAACUUGCCCCAAAAAGUUUCAUAUUUUUUCGAUUUUAUCCAAGGGGUAACAAGUUCCAUACCAUUAGUAGUUCAAAUUCCUUCUACAUUUGAGAUAAAUAUAUAUGAUUUGGAAACUUCUUUUCUCAUUUAACUUGGAAAUGACUAUUAUGUGAUUAUAAUUUUGCAUUUGUAGGAAAAUAUAUCUUGUGAAGUGGAGAAAAUUAUGCCUAUAUUUUUUUGCAUAUUUGAUGAAAUUUCUUCUCUUUAUUGGAUUUUAUAAGUUAAGUGGUAAAUAUGGUCAAUAAGUGCAAUACUCUUCUCAUGAUUAUUUUUUUUAGAAAAUUAUUAUUCUCUUUGCUAUAAAAAAAAAAGAAAAAAAAUGAUGAAAAAUGAAAAAAAUGAAGAAAAAGAGAAAAACAAAAAACAAAAGAAAAAAAGAAAAUAAAUAAAAAUUCUUCUACUCCAAUGAUUCUUGUACUUAGUAACCGGGAGUCUUCAUCUACAAAUGUCGACUUUCGCGUAAAAAGGUACUUGAAUUAAGAGUAUGCAAAGCAACUUGAGUAUGUGAAGUGUUGAGUAACCGGAGGUUGGCAUCUACAAAUGUCGACACUCGCGUAAAAAGAUACUUUCACAACUUAAGUAAUAUUUAGCGAUAUUAUAUAAAUAAAUCCCUCUUUAAGUUAAAUAAGAAGAUGAUCAUGGGUUUAGGAAGCAUAUUAUUGACCAUAUGAGUUACUUACUUGUAAGAUUGGGUAAGGAUGAAAAAUUGAUUUGAAUUUGUUAUAAUGACGGUAUAAUUGGCACUCCUUUACUUGAUAUUAUGAGUACUUGAACUUAAUUGAAUAAUUGCAUAAUGGUUAUUUACUUUGUUUUGAGGAAAUGAAGUUGAAAUGCUACAUAUGCUUAUUUUCAAAUUUUGGAUCAUUGUCGGUUUGUAUUUCUUAUUGCUUGAGGACAAGCAAUGGUUCAAGUGUGGGGGUAUUUGAUAAGAGUAUAUUUUACGUAUUUUUAGUGUGCUUUAUUAAUUAGUUUUGGUGUGUUUUAUUUAGUUUUAUAAAUAAUUAACUAAGAUUCUAGUGAAAAUAUGCAUUUUGUGGUUAAAGUGUGAAAAUUGCAUUUCUAUUGAUUUUUAUGGUAAAAACUUCAUAUUUUGUAGGUUUAAUGAUUCAAUCAUCAAAUGAAGUGCAUUGAGAAGAUAUUUGGAUGGUUGAAGAUGGAUUAAAGUGGUGAAAAUAAAAUAUGAAGUGUAAAAGGAAAAAUGCAAUUUGAAUCAAGAAAAGUCAGCUUUGACAACUCUGACACGUUUUGGUAUUUUAACUAUAUCUGGAGCUACAUAGAUUGGAUUCAGAUGAUAUUUAUAUCAUUUUAAAGCUAAGAGACAGAUCUACAUUUGGUAUGAAGACAUCAAAGUCCAAUUCGGCUGUUUUCCUGGUCAAAAUGUCAAAAUACAGAAGUCAAAGUCUGCUGCUGAGAGCUGAAAACGCGGAAUUGACCAGUCAGUGGUAUUUUUAUCAUAUCUCGGUCUAGACAGCUCCAAAUUGGAUGAUUCUUGAGGCAUUGGACAGCUAUUUCAAUGGACUACAACUUCUAUGUUUUGUACAAGAGCUAAUUCAGCCGUCAUCAUAGAGAAAAUAGCAGUUGAAGUAGCCAGAUUCUGGUCAGAAAUAGCUGCUGGUACAACCUGUUUUCUCCUUCAACAAUUUACAGCUAUGGAUGAACGUAUGACAACCAAUUAGCAGCUGUAAAAUGGAUGUUUCAAGCCUCAUUUCCUGAUUGCAUUCAUCUAUAUAUAACCAUGGACUUACAGGAUUCAAGAUAACUUGGGAAAAGGCUAGAGAAACUUACCAGAAAUGUAGUUUUCACUAGAGUUUCCUUGGUUCAUUAGUAUAGUAUAGGUAGAGUAGUUUAUCCAUCUUGUAUUUGUAGUUAGAUUUGGAUGAAUAUUGGAGGGGCAAAGAUGAAGAGGUUGAUCUCAUGUGACAAGGGUGAUAUCUCUUCUACUACUUUCUCUCUUGUAUUGGAUUUCAUGUUUAAUUAUAAUACAAGUUGGCUUUGUGUUUUUAUUAUGUUUAG
rnacentral:lncRNA from 1 species